rnacentral:rRNA from 1 species
GAUGAACGCUGGCGGCGUGCCUAAUACAUGCAAGUCGAGCGAACAGACGAGGAGCUUGCUUCUCUGAUGUUAGCGGCGGACGGGUGAGUAACACGUGGAUAACCUACCUAUAAGACUGGGAUAACUUCGGGAAACCGGAGCUAAUACCGGAUAACAUGUUGAACCGCAUGGUUCAACAGUGAAAGACGGUCUUGCUGUCACUUAUAGAUGUAUCCGCGCCGCAUUAGCUAGUUGGUAAGGUAACGGCUUACCAAGGCAACGAUGCGUAGCCGACCUGAGAGGGUGAUCGGCCACACUGGAACUGAGACACGGUCCAGACUCCUACGGGAGGCAGCAGUAGGGAAUCUUCCGCAAUGGGCGAAAGCCUGACGGAGCAACGCCGCGUGAGUGAAGAAGGUCUUCGGAUCGUAAAACUCUGUUAUUAGGGAAGAACAAAUGUGUAAGUAACUAUGCACGUCUUGACGGUACCUAAUCAGAAAGCCACGGCUAACUACGUG